rnacentral:rRNA from 1 species
CCCUUAGAUGUUCUGGGCCGCACGCGUGCUACACUGAGUGGAUCAGCGGGUCAGGUUGCGCGAAAGCGUUUCCUAAUCUUUAAAUCCGCUCGUGAUGGGGAUUGACGGUUGCAAUUUUCUGUCAUGAACGAGGAAUACCUUGUAAGCGCGGGUCAUCAUCCCGCGCUGAAUAAGUCCCUGCCCUUUGUACACACCGCCCGUCGCUCCUACCGAUUGAGUGGUCCGGUGAGGCUUUGGGAUCUGAGCGGAAAGAGCGUUUCGCUGUUUCUGCUCGGAAAACUCAGUCGAACCUUAUCAUUUAGAGGAAGGAGAAGUCGUAACA